rnacentral:rRNA from 1 species
GACGAACGCUGGCGGCGUGCUUAACACAUGCAGGUCGAACGGUAAGGCCCUUCGGGGUACACGAGUGGCGAACGGGUGAGUAACACGUGGGUGAUCUGCCCUGCACUUCGGGAUAAGCCUGGGAAACUGGGUCUAAUACCGGAUAGGACCACUGCCUGCAUGGGUGGUGGUGGAAAGCUUUUGCGGUGUGGGAUGGGCCCGCGGCCUAUCAGCUUGUUGGUGGGGUGAUGGCCUACCAAGGCGACGACGGGUAGCCGGCCUGAGAGGGUGACCGGCCACACUGGGACUGGGAUACGGCCCAGACGCCUACGGGAGGCAGCAGUGGGGAAUAUUGCACAAUGGGCGCAAGCCUGAUGCAGCGACGCCGCGUGGGGGAUGACGGCCUUCGGGUUGUAAACCUCUUUCAGCACCGACGAAGCGCAAGUGACGGUAGGUGCAGAAGAAGGACCGGCCAACUACGUGCCAGCCGCCGCAGUAA